CCUACGGGAGGCAGCAGUGGGGGAUAUUGCACAAUGGGGGGAACCCUGAUGCAGCGACGCCGCGUGGGUGAAGGAGUGCUUCGGCAUGUAAAGCCCUAUCGGCAGGGAAGAAGCAAGACGGUACCUGACUAAGAAGCCCCGGCUAACUACGUGCCAGCAGCCGCGGUAAUACGUAGGGGGCGCGCGUUAUCCGGAUUCACUGGGUGGAAAGGGAGCGUAGACGGCCAUGCAAGCCAGGGGUGAAAGCCCGGGGCCCAACCCCGGGACUGCCCUUGGAACUGCAUGGCUGGAGUGCGGGAGGGGCAGGCGGAAUUCCUGGUGUAGCGGUGAAAUGCGUAGAUAUCAGGAGGAACACCGGCGGCGAAGGCGGCCUGCUGGACCGCGACUGACGUUGAGGCUCGAAAGCGUGGGGAGCGAACAGGAUUAGAUACCCCUGUAGUC
rnacentral:rRNA from 1 species